rnacentral:rRNA from 1 species
UAAGCGGAGGAAAAGAAACUAACAAGGAUUCCCCUAGUAACGGCGAGUGAAGCGGGAAGAGCUCAAAUUUGAAAUCUGGCAGUCUUCGAUUGUCCGAGUUGUAAUCUAUAGAGGCGUUUUCCGUGCCGGACCGUGUCCAAGUCUCCUGGAAAGGAGUAUCAAAGAGGGUGAUAAUCCCGUACUUAACACGACCACCGGUGCUCUGUGAUACGUCUUCUACGAGUCGAGUUGUUUGGGAAUGCAGCUCAAAAUGGGUGGUGAAUUCCAUCUAAAGCUAAAUAUUGGCGAGAGACCGAUAGCGAACAAGUACCGUGAGGGAAAGAUGAAAAGCACUUUGGAAAGAGAGUUAAACAGUACGUGAAAUUGUUGAAAGGGAAACGAUUGAAGUCAGUCGUGUUCUUUGGAUUCAGCCAGUUCUGCUGGUCUACUUCCUUGGAACGGGUCAACAUCAGUUUUGUCCGGUGGAUAAAGGUAGUAGGAAUGUGACUUCUCCGGAAGUGUUAUAGCCUAUUAUCACAUACACUGGGUGAGACUGAGGACUGCAGCUCGCCUUUAUGGCCGGCCUUCGGGCACGUUCGAGCUUAGGAUGUUGACAUAAUGGCUUUAAACGACCCGUCUUGAAACACG